rnacentral:rRNA from 1 species
AGAUUGAACGCUGGCGGAAUGCUUUACACAUGCAAGUCGAACGGCAGCACGGGGGCAACCCUGGUGGCGAGUGGCGAACGGGUGAGUAAUACAUCGGAACGUGCCCAGUCGUGGGGGAUAACUACGCGAAAGCGUAGCUAAUACCGCAUACGAACUCUGGUUGAAAGCGGGGGACUCGCAAGAGCCUCGCGCGAUUGGAGCGGCCGAUGGCAGAUUAGGUAGUUGGUGGGGUAAAGGCUCACCAAGCCGACGAUCUGUAGCUGGUCUGAGAGGACGACCAGCCACACUGGGACUGAGACACGGCCCAGACUCCUACGGGAGGCAGCAGUGGGGAAUUUUGGACAAGUGGGCGCAAGCCUGAUCCAGCCAUUCCGCGUGCAGGAUGAAGGCCCGUCGGUUGUAAACUGUCUUUGGACGGUAACGAAAAGCCGCUUUACUAAUACAGAGCGGUACAUGACGGUACCGUACAGAAUAAGCAACCGGCUAAACUACGUCGACCAGACACGACCG